rnacentral:rRNA from 1 species
GACGAACGCUGGCGGCGUGCUUAACACAUGCAAGUCGAACGAUGAAACCUAGCUUGCUAGGUCGAUUAGUGGCGAACGGGUGAGUAACACGUGACUAACCUGCCCCUUUCUCUGGGAUAACGCUCCGAAAGGAGUGCUAAUACCGGAUACUCACACCGAGGCACAUGCCUUGGUGUGGAAAGUUUUUCGGAAAGGGAUGGAGUCGCGGCCUAUCAGCUUGUUGGUGAGGUAACGGCUCACCAAGGCGACGACGGGUAGCCGGCCUGAGAGGGCGAGCGGCCACACGGGGACUGAGACACGGCCCAGACUCCUACGGGAGGCAGCAGUGGGGAAUAUUGCACAAUGGGCGCAAGCCUGAUGCAGCGACGCCGCGUGAGGGAUGAAGGUCUUCGGAUUGUAAACCUCUUUCAGUAGGGACGAAGCGAAAGUGACGGUACCUAAAGAAGAAGCACCGGCUAACUACGUGCCAGCCGCCGCCGUAA